rnacentral:rRNA from 1 species
GACGAACGCUGGCGGCGUGCUUAACACAUGCAAGUCGAACGGAAAGGCCCUGCUUUUGUGGGGUGCUCGAGUGGCGAACGGGUGAGUAACACGUGAGUAACCUGCCCUUGACUUUGGGAUAACUUCAGGAAACUGGGGCUAAUACCGGAUAGGAGCUCCUGCUGCAUGGUGGGGGUUGGAAAGUUUCGGCGGUUGGGGAUGGACUCGCGGCUUAUCAGCUUGUUGGUGGGGUAGUGGCUUACCAAGGCUUUGACGGGUAGCCGGCCUGAGAGGGUGACCGGCCACAUUGGGACGGAGAUACGGCCCAGACUCCUACGGGAGGCAGCAGUGGGGAAUAUUGCACAAUGGGCGGAAUCCUGAUGCAGCAACGCCGCGUGCGGGAUGAAGGCCUUCGGGUUGUAAACCGCUUUCGCCUGUGACGAAGCGUGAGUGACGGUAAUGGGUAAAGAAGCACCGGCUAACUACGUG